rnacentral:rRNA from 1 species
UGCCGCGUGAGUGAUGGAAGGCCUUCGGGUUGUAAAACUCUUUCGACGGGGACGAUAAUGACGGUACCCGGUACGAAGAAGCUCCGGACUAACCUUCGUGC